rnacentral:lncRNA from 1 species
GCAUCAUAAUAAAAUCCACCUCAAUGUCCACACAACUGAACUUUGACAACUCCAGAGAAUCAGCAGGACAAGACCCAGAGAGGCCAUCCAAAAUCAGAGGGGAGACACAUUUUAAUGAACAAUCUAUUCCAGGUAUACCUUCAAUUUUGGAACACAGUCAAACAAUUUAAGAGUUAAAUUCGUCUAAACAGAAGUUAACAACCUUUUGUGCCAAUGUACAGAAACUGAAGCAGCCGGAAAAUUUACCUGAAGUGAACCAACUAGACUGAAGAUUCUUGAGCAAGUAUGACCUAUUUCAUAUACCUCAAGAAGAAUGGAUGCUACAAUUAAUGGCCAGACCAACAUUACACAGAACAGAAAAGAAUAGAUCUUGGUAGCAGUGUUCCAAUAUCUGGAGAUGGUCCUGAUUCAACGAAGUCAUUCGGACAAGUGCCACAGCAAGAAGACAUCCAUAACAAGUCGAACUGCAAGUAUAUAUUAUCAAAUAGAAUGAUGGACAAAGAAGAGAAUCUCACAAUUUAUGCAAACCUGCCCGACGGACAAUUUUGAAAAGAAGAAAAAUCUCAACGAGGUUCACAUAAUAGAUCGAGGAGGGAAGCGACCAGCCUGACGGAGACAGGAACGAGUUGAGGAGGAGGCCCAUGGGCGACGGGCGGGAGGAGCACGGAGGGGCGGUCGCCGCCCGCUGACUUGCCGGCGUCGAGGUAGAUGUUGAUCCGCAUCUCUGCCGCCAGCAUCCUACCACCGCUGCCAUCUCGUAGGUCGCCGGAUCUAGCGGAAGGAAACCGUGCUACACCGCCGCCUAAUACGCCAUGCCACACACAUACCUCGCCUCCACCGGUCCACCACCUCCGGCCACUCCGCCUUAUUAGUCGAUCUGCUCGAAGGGGAAGAGUGAAAAGGAAUACAUGGCAGCAGCGCAGCGCAUCGCCGGGACAAACUAAUUUUUUGGAGAGGGAAGAAGAGGGUGCGUGGGGCUCAGAGGCAGGCUACUCUCUUUCUUCCUUCUAGACGAAGGAAAGGAGCGGUGGUACAAGGGAGACGAGAAGGCGUGCUUGUCUCGUGUGCGUUUGCUGCCUUCGUAAUGUUACCUUGGGGAGGUGUCAACCAGGGGCAGCAGCAAUAAA